UGGGAGGGGGCUAGAAACAGAGCUGCAGCUGGAUCCUCUUAAGCUGUUCCAUUCUGGUUCAGGAUGGUGUAUCUCAGAGAAACACCAGGGUUGUAAGGGACAACUUAUGUCACCCAUCAUGUGCCAUUGUUAUGGCCAUUUAGUGAAACAGCAGACACACUCAUUCAGAUGUGUAUGAAAGGACAGAUGGAGAUAUAAACAAGAAGACAAAGCGUGGACAAAGAGGGUGGCAUCAAAUGAAAAUGCUUCCUCAGAGCAAACAAAAUUAUCAAGAGACAACCUGCAAAGUGGGAGUGCUCCCAACUCAUCCAACUGAAAAGCGCUGGUGUGGAAAACACAGGGAACCGACAUAUUGCUAGCAAGAAAGCAAACAACAUGAGUGAAGAAUGGGCAAAGGAUCUGAAAAAACAUUUCUUGAAAGAAAAAAAUCAAAAGACUGUUCAAUAGGUGUAUUAAAAACAUGCUCAAUAUUUCUAAUUUUCAUAAAAAUU